GCAGGACGGUGAGGAGGAUGGAGCAGAUGGUGGUGAAAGCGGGGAAUCGUCCAAAAUGAAGUCGGUGAUGAGCCGAGCAGGGUCUAGCCCAGGACCCCAGAAGCGCUGGGCCGCUCCUAAGCUGACUGAUCCAGUCGUGAUGAAAUCUGCGGCUCAGCGGAGAUUGCCCAGGAGAACCCUCCGCAAGCAGAAGGAAGCACCCACCACACACAAAUUGAUCGAAGGCUCCCUCUGCCAGGUGCCCUCCACACGCAGAGCACGUCCCCUCUUUCCUGUGGGAUGAGCACCUGUCUGUGCACCGGCAGAUGCAGAUGGGGGCAGAGAUCUUAAGGAAGCUUCUCCCACACUGAGGGCACUGGCAAGGCCUCUCCCGGGGUGUGGUGGGUUCUGGUGGGCACUCGAGUGGAGCGUUGUUGAAGCUUUUCCCACGCUGCCCACACUCGAGGGAGCCGGGCCGGCCGGGGAGCUCUGCACAGGGAGCCGUAGGAUCGCUUCCCUCCGCGGUGCACUGAUGAGGCUUCUCCCCCGAAUCGUUGAUCUGGUGGACGGCGAGGCUGGAGCGCGGGCCGAAGCUUCUCCCACGACCCCGCCCUGGCGGGGUCUCUGCCCUAUGUGGGUCCUCAGGGGGCCGUGAGGCGGCCGUGCUCGCGGAAGCCGUUCCCACACUCACGGCCCUUGCGAGGCGUCUCUCAGGCCUCAGACCAGACGCGAACCUCGGCUGAAGGCUCCGUGGGUUCGCGACAUGUGGAAGCUUUUCCCGGUCGGGGCCUGGCUGGUGGUGAGCAGGAGAGCUCUGGGCGCGGUGUCCCCCACGGCAGGGGAGGGCGCGGGGUGCGGGCCUUCUCCCCGGAAGAAGCCUCCAUGACUCGUCCUCCAGGGGCGGGGGCUCUGGCCUCGCUCCCCUGGACAACUCGACCUGCCCAGCCUCUUCCUUGGUCAGAGCUUCCAAGACUUCACUGGACUUGCUCCCCAGAAGCUUGUUCCUUUCUGCUUCCUCUGGAUCAUCCUAUCUCAGAUUCUGGUUUUUAAUCCCAUACUUGAUCUCAAAACCUAAACGAAUAAAUAGAACUCCAUUGGCUCUGGAGAAGGAAAAAAAA
rnacentral:lncRNA from 1 species